UAGGGAAUCUUCGGCAAUGGACGAAAGUCUGACCGAGCAACGCCGCGUGAGUGAAGAAGGUUUUCGGAUCGUAAAACUCUGUUGUUAGAGAAGAACAAGGACGUUAGUAACUGAACGUCGACUGACGGUAUCUAACCAGAAAGCCACGGCUAACUACGUGCCAGCAGCCGCGGUAAUACGUAGGUGGCAAGCGUUGUCCGGAUUUAUUGGGCGUAAAGCGAGCGCAGGCGGUUUCUUAAGUCUGAUGUGAAAGCCCCCGGCUCAACCGGGGAGGGUCAUUUGAAACUGGGAGGCUUGAGUGCAGAAGAGGAGAGUGGAAUUCCAUGUGUAGCGGUGAAAUGCGUAGAUAUAUGGAGGAACACCAGUGGCGAAGGCGGCUCUCUGGUCUGUAACUGACGCUGAGGCUCGAAAGCGUGGGGAGCAAACAGG
rnacentral:rRNA from 1 species